GAACAAGAAAUAGCCCAACGCUGAAUCCUAUAGUUUUUGACAACUAUUAGGACCUGUAGCGUAUAGGUGCAACUGUUCAACGGAUUUGCAUACUCCAAGUUCUCUUGACUGAGGCUACAGUCCAGAGAAGGUGCUAGACCUGUAGGAGUAGUAAAACUGUUUGAUACUGGUUGUUCCUUUGAGUCGAGUUGUUUGAAAUUGCAGCUCAAAGAAGGUGGUAAACCUCAUCUAAGGCUAAAUAUGACCACGAGACCGAUAGCGAACAAGUACCGUGAGGGAAAGUUGCAAAGAACUUUGAAGAGAGAGUUCAAGAGGGCGUGAAACCGCUUAGAUGGAAGCGGAUAGAGUCAACAAAACACAAUAGUAAUCAUCCAGUUAAAUGCUGAACGUUUUGGCCGUUUGCGCUUACAGUCUUCAUUGUUGCACUUCGGUGUUGACAAGGGAUAGUUUGUGUUCGGCUGAUGUGUACGGCGUUUUCGACUGGUGCUCUUGCUGUUGUUAUGCAUUGAGGAACUUGCAAUGUGUACGGAAAACUUAGCAUAAGAGGACUAUGUUCCGAUAGAAUGUAGAAACCUUAUGUUUGAGAUAUGUCCGCUAUCCUUUGUAAGUUAUGCAUCAACUGCGUCUGCUUGAUAGCGUAAUACAAUUGCUUUGUAGUGAAUGUAGAGUACUAUGGAUUUGUCGCUUGCCGGCUUGUCCUAUAUUUUAUGUUCACUUCUAUUGCUGGUUGUGAAUUACUGGUAGACGUUGGUUCCACAAUGUAUACAAAAAGUUGAUCACCUAUCCGACCCGUCUUGAAACACGGACCAAGGAGUUUAGCAUAUAUGCGAGUCAUUGGGUGUUCAAAACCUAAAGGCGUAAUGAAAAUGAAUAUAUGGGAUCUGUAUACUGUAGAGAUGUAUACAGCGCACCAUAGUCCUGUUAAUAUUGCUUGCAAUUUAGCGGAGAUAGAGCAUAUAUGCUGAGACCCGAAAGAUGGUGAACUAUGCUUGAGCAGGAUGAAGCCAGAGGAAACUCUGGUGGAAGUCCGAAGUGGUUCUGACGUGCA
rnacentral:rRNA from 1 species